rnacentral:rRNA from 1 species
CCUACGGGCGGCUGCAGUGGGGAAUAUUGGACAAUGGGCGAAAGCCUGAUCCAGCCAUGCCGCGUGUGUGAAGAAGGCCUUCGGGUUGUAAAGCACUUUCAGUGGGGAAGAAAGCCUUGGGGCUAAUACCCUCGAGGAAGGACAUCACCCACAGAAGAAGCACCGGCUAACUCCGUGCCAGCAGCCGCGGUAAUACGGAGGGUGCGAGCGUUAAUCGGAAUUACUGGGCGUAAAGCGCGCGUAGGCGGUCUGAUAAGCCGGUUGUGAAAGCCCCGGGCUCAACCUGGGAACGGCAUCCGGAACUGUCAGGCUAGAGUGCAGGAGAGGAAGGUAGAAUUCCCGGUGUAGCGGUGAAAUGCGUAGAGAUCGGGAGGAAUACCAGUGGCGAAGGCGGCCUUCUGGACUGACACUGACGCUGAGGUGCGAAAGCGUGGGUAGCAAACAGGAUUAGAUACCCGGUAGUC